rnacentral:rRNA from 1 species
UCCUACGGGAGGCAGCAGUGGGGAAUAUUGGACAAUGGGCGCAAGCCUGAUCCAGCAAUGCCGCGUGUGUGAAGAAGGCCUGCGGGUUGUAAAGCACUUUCAGUAGAGAAGAAAAGCCUACGGUUAAUAACCGUGAGUCUUGACGUAACCUACAGAAGAAGCACCGGCUAACUCCGUGCCAGCAGCCGCGGUAAAGCCGA